rnacentral:rRNA from 1 species
UACGUAGGGUGCGAGCGUUGUCCGGAAUUAUUGGGCGUAAAGGGCUCGUAGGCGGUUUGUCACGUCGGGAGUGAAAACACCGGGCUUAACUCGGUGCUUGCUUCCGAUACGGGCAGACUAGAGGCAUGCAGGGGAGAACGGAAUUCCUGGUGUAGCGGUGAAAUGCGCAGAUAUUAGGAGGAACACCGGUGGCGAAGGCGCCACUCUGGGCCGAAACUGACGCUGAGGAGCGAAAGCGUGGGUAGCAAACAGG